rnacentral:rRNA from 1 species
AGUGAACGCUGGCGGUAGGCCUAACACAUGCAAGUCGAACGGCAGCACAGUAAGAGCUUGCUCUUACGGGUGGCGAGUGGCGGACGGGUGAGGAAUACAUCGGAAUCUACUUUUUCGUGGGGGAUCACGUAGGGAAACUUACGCUAAUACCGCAUACGACCUACGGGUGAAAGCAGGGGAUCUUCGGCCCUUGCGCGAUUGAAUGAGCCGAUGUCGGAUUAGCUAGUUGGCGGGGUAAAGGCCCACCAAGGCGACGAUCCGUAGCUGGUCUGAGAGGAUGAUCAGCCACACUGGAACUGAGACACGGUCCAGACUCCUACGGGAGGCAGCAGUGGGGAAUAUUGGACAAUGGGCGCAAGCCUGAUCCAGCCAUACCGCGUGGGUGAAGAAGGCCUUCGGGUUGUAAAGCCCUUUUGUUGGGAAAGAAAAGCAGCAGGUUAAUACCCCGCUGUUCUGACGGUACCCAAAGAAUAAGCACCGGCUAACUUCGUG